rnacentral:rRNA from 1 species
GACGAACGCUGGCGGCGUGCUUAACACAUGCAAGUCGUACGGUAAGGCCCUUUCGGGGGUACACGAGUGGCGAACGGGUGAGUAACACGUGAGUAACCUGCCCACAACUUUGGGAUAACGCUAGGAAACUGGUGCUAAUACUGGAUAUGUGCUCCUGCUGCAUGGUGGGGGUUGGAAAGCUCCGGCGGUUGUGGAUGGACUCGCGGCCUAUCAGCUUGUUGGUGGGGUAGUGGCCUACCAAGGCGGCGACGGGUAGCCGGCCUGAGAGGGUGACCGGCCACAUUGGGACUGAGAUACGGCCCAGACUCCUACGGGAGGAAGAAGUGGGGAAUAUUGAACAAGGGGCGCAAGCCGGAUGCAGCAACGCCGCGUGCGGGAUGACAGCCUUCGGGUUGUAAACCGCUUUCAGCAGGGACGAAGCUUUUUGUGACGGUACCUGCAGAAGAAGCACCGGCUAACUACGUG